ACAUUGGUGGUUUGGUGGUAGAAUUCUUACUUUUCAUGUGGGAGACCUGGGUUCAACUCCCAGCCGAUGCA
rnacentral:tRNA from 1 species